rnacentral:rRNA from 1 species
UACGUAGGGGGCUAGCGUUGUCCGGAAUCAUUGGGCGUAAAGCGCGUGUCGGCGGUUCGGUAAGUCCGCUGUGAAAGUCGGGGGCUCAACCCUCGGAUGCCGGUGGAUACUGUCGGACUAGAGUACGGAAGAGGCGAGUGGAAUUCCUGGUGUAGCGGUGAAAUGCGCAGAUAUCAGGAGGAACACCGGUGGCGAAGGCGGGUCUCUGGGCAGUAACUGACGCUGAGGAGCGAAAGCGUGGGGAGCGAACAGG